rnacentral:lncRNA from 1 species
CCACAGGGUUCUUGAAGACACAACUAAAUGAAAAUGGAUGAAAUCAGAAUGGAGCCUAAUCCGAGGUGACUGCUGUCUUUGUGAGAACAGGGAAGGAACACACAGGAAGGCUCCAGGGGUGCGUGUGAGGACAGAGCAAGGAGGUGGCCUGUCUGCCAGCCAAGGAAAAGAAACCAGCCCUGCUGACAACCGGCCCUCAGACUGCCAGCCCAGUGGGAAAACUCAUUCUGUUAUCUAAGCCACUCUGUCUGCAACGAUUGGUUAUGGCGGCCCUAAAAAAUGAGUACAUUUUCCGUCUUUGUACUGUAAAGUUGUUGUUGUUUAAUAGAUUGUCUCUUUUCUUGGGUUUAAGGAAUAUCUUCAAAAAGAGCUUGUUUUAUUGAUGAACUUGGUGUAUUAGGAACCAUCUCGGGAGGCUCUUGGCAAACACAGAAGGGGAUGAACGAGAGCACAUGCCUACCCGCUGUACAGAUCUCGCAACUGCAGAGAUAAUUGGAGAAGAUAGAUCUAUCUGCAAGCAGAUCUCUGGAAUGGACAAGGAAGGUAUCUUCGAUCGAAGCUGUGGGAGGAGCUUUGGACUUGGCUAAGAGCCAGAGCCCUGUAGAGGGAGCGCCAGAGAGCCACUGCGAAGACCCCAGGGGACCAGGAUGCAGCUAAGUCACCUGGAUGCGGAGAAGCUUCUGGGUCCCCACUCUACCUCGCAUCUCUUCUAGAAGGUGCCAGCUGGUGGCUAUGCUUGCACUGGAGCCUUUGCAUAGCCUACGUGGCUGUCAGUGAG